GUUGAUUUCACUUGGCUCGGGCAUGUUUGGUUUCUGAAACUUGGAACCUCGGCAAAAAGAAACUAGUAUUUGAGGACAAAACUAUAUACAAGUUUAUCAGUUAACGACAUGUAAACCCAAGCUGAACCAUGAGACUUAUUGCCCGGGGAAGGAGAUGGUGGGAAAAUAAGCAAUUGGUCACCUGUGGAUCUCAAAGCAGUGAGGACAGCAUGGCUCAUGGUGCAGCAACUUUGAUUGGAAAAUGGAACAUGCACAGGAGCAGAGGAAAUAUGCCUUGUGUCCCUUCUUCCAUGCCACCCCAUUUGUGCAUAAUGUUUAUGCUGCCCAUGAACGUGGAAUUCAGGUGGACCCAUGAUGUGUGGGAGUUCAGUGGCUCAGAGCAAAAGUGAGUAUAAGGUCAUGAUCUCACGGUCUGUGAGCUCGGGUCCUGCAUCCGGUUCUGUGCUGUCAGAGCAGAGUCUGCUUGGGAUUCUCUCUCUCCUUCCCUCUCUGACCUUCCCUCUCUCUCUCAAAAUAAAUAAACAUUAAAAAAAAAAAAAAAGCCAACUCCUCCUGCCUCCAGCUCUAUCAUUUCCAUCAUCAAGGCCCUAGACAAAUCUCUUAGGCUAGUGAGGGAGGUGGGGAGGCAAUUGUCAUAGCAACUUUCCGUUCUUCUCUCCCUCGGGCUCCAUCCA